rnacentral:rRNA from 1 species
GACGAACGCUGGCGGCGUGCUUAACACAUGCAAGUCGAACGAAGUGGCGAACGGGUGAGUAACGCGUAAUCAACCUGCCCUUCAGAGGGGGACAACAGUUGGAAACGACUGCUAAUACCGCAUACUGAAGUAGGGGAUUGCGUCUGAUUGGCUAGUUGGAGGGGUAACGUCCCACAAAGGCGAUGAUCAGUAGCCGGUGUGAAAGGAGGAACGGCCACAUUGGGACUGAGACACGGCCCAGACUCCGACGGGAGGCAGCAGUGGAGAAUCUUCCGCAAUGGACGAAAGUCUGACGGAGCAACGCCGCGUGAGUGAUGACGGCCUUCGGGUUGUAAAGCUCUGUUAGUCGGGACGCGGUACCGGAAUAGAAAGCCACGGCUAACUACGUGCCAGCAGCCGCGGUAAUUC